GAUUCCUGAGUAGCAGAUGACCAUGACAAGUAGGGGCAGGACCAGGCUCAAGAUGACCAUCUUUAACGUUUGGAACCUCUUCCAGAAGUGAUACUGGGUGACUGGACUACUCAAUAAAGCCUGCUUCAUUUUUUCCAAUUAUUGUCUCCUGGGGACUAAUUUUCUGUGUGGGACGUGCUGGAAGAUGUGUGAAAGAAUAAAUGCUACCAGAGACUGUGUAGUUUAAAAAGCCUGCCUUGGAACAUAUCACAGUUUGCAACAAGAAGUCCAGCUGAACAAGGACAAAGUCUCUAGUGCCCACAAGGCUACCUUUGUCAGGGUAGCCGGAGAAUCCAUCCAGUCCUUACAGAAACAAGACGAUUCUACUCACCACCUCUCAAUGUCACACAUUGUCACCUGUGUGCCUCAGCCAUGAUGCUUGGGUUCAAAUGAUUCUGUCUCACACUCCUGUCAUAAAAACUGGAAUUGCAUUUCUACAAAAUGUCUGCUUCCUCUCUGGCUCCUUCCCUUUCUUGUUAAAGACUCCAAUACUCCAGUAUUGACAUGAAUGUGGUUUUAGAUCUACCUUGUUUGUGAUUCCAUUGCAAAACUACCAGAUCCCUAGAGGUAGAGACUGAUGUUUGCCUGUGGUAGUUUCGACUUGGAUAGCCUGUUGUUGCCAUAUAUCCUGGAGACCCUUUAGCUUUGGAUCUGCAAGUACAGUCCCUUCACAUGCUCCGGCAGUUUAUAGAUGAGCAUUUCAAACAGAUGGUGCAGAAGUCAGCUCCAAGGCUAGAUGACAGAGCAUAUGACACGGGUACAGUCGUCUCUGGGCUACAGCUAGAAGUGAGCUGAAUCCAUUGUUAUCAUCCCCAUACUUUUCCUGAAAUGUCACUUUCCACUGGACUUUCAUGGAGCUGAAGAACAGAGAAGCUGCUACCUUAGCUGAUUAUUGCAAGAGAUAAAGUUCGAUAACUUGGUGACAGAAUCACUGUGAACACAUACCUGAGAUGAUACAGCAAUCAACAAACCUAACUCCCAACCAGCCGCAGAUGGAAACAAACGACUCCUUGGCACCCCUUACUUGCCAAAAAAGUGACCACAGGAACCGUUGAGUAUGGACAGAAUAGAGGAGUGAUUGUAUCUUAAUCAUGACACCAAAUGUAAAACUCAGAACAUUCAUUUUCAGCUUAAAAGCUCAUCUUAAAAUAAAACUUCAGAGCAUCUUUGCA